rnacentral:rRNA from 1 species
GUGACCUCAAAUCAGGUAGGACUACCCGCUGAACUUAAGCAUAUCAAUAAGCGGAGGAAAAGAAACUAACAAGGAUUCCCCUAGUAACUGCGAGUGAAGCGGGAAAAGCUCAAAUUUAAAAUCUGUCAGUCUUUGGCUGUCCGAGUUGUAAUCUAGAGAAGUGUUAUCUGCGCUGGACCGUGUACAAGUCUCCUGGAAUGGAGCGUCAUAGAGGGUGAGAAUCCCGUCUCUGACACGGACUGCCAGGGCUUUGUGAUGCGCUCUCAAAGAGUCGAGUUGUUUGGGAAUGCAGCUCAAAAUGGGUGGUAAAUUCCAUCUAAAGCUAAAUAUUGGCGAGAGACCGAUAGCGAACAAGUACCGUGAGGGAAAGAUGAAAAGAACUUUGGAAAGAGAGUUAAACAGUACGUGAAAUUGCUGAAAGGGAAACGCUUGAAGUCAGUCGCGUUGUCCAGGGAUCAACCUUGCUGUUGCUUGGUGUACUUUNUGGUUAACGGGUCAGCAUCAAUUUUGAUCAUUGGAAAAAGGUUAGGGGAAUGUGGCAUCUUUGGAUGUGUUAUAGCCCUUGAUUGUAUACAAUGGUUGGGAUUGAGGAACUCAGCACGCCGCAAGGCCGGGUUUAACCACGUACGUGCUAGGAUGCUGCUA